UACAGAGGGUGCGAGCGUUGUUCGGAAUUAUUGGGCGUAAAGGGCGCGUAGGCGGUGCGGUAAGUCACCUGUGAAAUCUCCUGGCUCAACUGGGAGCUUGCAGGCGAAACUGCCGUGCUGGAGUGUGGGAGAGGUGCGUGGAAUUCCUGGUGUAGAGGUGAAAUGCGUAGAUAUCAGGAGGAACACCAAUGGCGAAGGCAGCCUUCUGGGCCAACACUGACGCUCAUGCACGAAAGCGUGGGGAGCAAACAGG
rnacentral:rRNA from 1 species